CAACCAUCCAGAGCGGCCGAGAGAUCUGGCUCGAUGACGCCGCAGCAACCCCUUCCCGAAUCAUCGGGAGGAAGGUGCUCACGCCGGAACCGAUGGAGU
rnacentral:ncRNA from 1 species